rnacentral:lncRNA from 1 species
AUAAAUUAACUUGACUCGAAUCACAAACCUAAUGUGACUCAAGUCAUGUUUAAAGUUCAAUAGAAUCAUAGCUCUCCAUUAUCACAACCCGAUUUUGACCUUAAUCAUCGAUUCAUAUAUCUCGCUAUUGCAUCCUGUCGCGACUGGAAAAAUGACAGACCAACUUUUUUUCAAGAAGGAAAUAAUGAUAAAACCUAUUAAUAAUGUGAGAUACUGGGUUCGGAGUUGGUUAGAAGGGAAGGUGUUAGGCACCCUUAUCCAGUGUACUAAUGGAUCCUCUCUAUUUAGGGCUAAUGUUUUAAGGUGUUGCUUGAUUUCUAAUUAACUAUUGAUUAUUCAUUUUUUACAGAAGUACUUAUAAUGACGGAGACCCAAAAGUUUUUUAUUUAUUGAUACUCGUGAUCUUUUACAUCUCUAUGCUACGUACUCCGCAUUAGGUGAGGGAUCAGAGUACCGUGUUCUUCUUAAAAAUGUUGAUUGGUUGGUUGUUUUAUCCCUUGAAAAUUCUCACGGAUCGGGGCGGAGAAAUGAUUUUAAAAAUGCUCAAUACACUAGGGUAGAGGUCUACGGUUUGAAGUGAAUUUGAACUGAUUUAACACUUUAUCUCUUGCAAAAAAUAUUGAUUUAAUUUAUUUAAGAAAAUAACUUAGAAGUCAUAGUUAUGUGUUAGGCGUAACCCUUAAUCCAGUUUCAACUCUCAAUUUAACCCUUGAAAAUCCAUAUUUUUAUCCCAUAUAGUAUCCCAUUCUUAGUCCCAUUUUUAUUUUUGAAAAUAUCAUUUAAUUUAAUUAAUAAGAUAUAUUAAAUAUGAUGUAAUAAUAUAUACAAAUGAAUAAAAUUAAAUAAUUUAAAUUAGAUUUCCACGAGAUAUAUCCCUAAUCCUAUUUGUCCAUCUUUAUACCCCUUAAGACCUAAGAAUUAUUCGUGAUUCUAUCCCUAAAUUCCUGAUUUAAUUAACUUUAAUAUAAAUAUAUAUAAUCUCCUAAUCAAUUAAAUAUUACUAAUCAUAAUUAAUUANNNNNNNNNNNNNNNNNNNNNNNNNAAACAUCAUAUAAAAUGACGGUUGUCAAAAAAAAAUUUUAAAAAUAACAACAAUAUAUUUUUUUUGGAAUAAUAAUAAUCUGAUUGUGCCAAAAACAAAGAAAUACACGCCGAUCCUCAAUCCAAGACACCCAACCGACACGGAUACAAACAACGACCACUAAAGGCUAUUACAAUCGCUGUUCAAUUUUCAUUUCAUUCUAAAUCUAUCCAUAAGUAUUGUCAUGAUAUUGUUGGCUUUUUGAAGGCUCUUCCUUCUCCCUUUGGAAACAAUCCUGUUUCUCAACCCACCAAUUGGUUAUACCGUUUCAAGCCAGCGCAGCUUUUGAAAUAUUACGCAUUUUGGCCCUUCCCUUUGCUUGUUUGCCAAGCAGUAUGCUCUUCCAAUAUGGAUAUAACCAAGCCCAGGCCUAUUAAGAUCUCCUUUCCAAAUCUUCUUUGUGGAUUGGCACCACUUCAAAGAAUUAAGGGCAUCUAUUUUCUGCACAUUCACAAAACAGACAAUUCCCUCAGAUAAAGUUCCGUUUUCAUCAAAUCUGUCUUUGGUGUGCAAUCUGUCCUGACAGGAGCCAGGCAAAGAGUAAAAAACAGCCCUUUCUAGCCUGUGUUAUGUACAUUAACCUCCUCCAAUCAAACUCUUUGGCUUGUCCCCACGCAAGAUGCCGAUACAUCUUCGAGUGCUAUACAUAUUAUUAGCCUGGAAUUCAACCCCAAAUUCAUUAGACAUCAAUUCAGCUUAUGUUUACACUGGACUUCAUCAACCAUUGAUGUUGUUUGUUGGGCUGUAUUCCUAAUCACUCCAUUCUUCAGUAGUUAAUAUGCAUCCAUUUAACCCACAUUUUAUCCUUCUCUCGCUCAAAUUCAGGAAGCUUGCCAUGGUGGCUUUAAUUCCACUCCCCUAAGGCUAUGAUGUUCCUCACCAUUUGCAAUCGAAUCACAAACCAUGGUCCCAGGCACCGGCGCUCUUUUACUCUUCUUCGUCAUUUCCGCCCAAAUGAAUUUCUACACAUGCUUUCAAUGAGCCUAAUGAUUUCUUUUUGGGUAGAAGAAAAAUUUGCAAUCCAAUAAUUGGCUAUAGCAAACAUCACAUUUCUCCACAACUGUAAUUUACCUGCAUACGACAAAAGACGGCUACACCAAUGGUUAAUUCUAACAUAUUCUAUCUAAGCACCCUUGACAUUGUUUGAUGGUGAGGCUUCUUACUGUUCAGGAGCACUCCAAGAUACUUGACUGGAAGCUUCCCCAAAGAGAAAUCGAGUCUCUUGCGCAAGUUUCCUUUAGUUAUGCCAUCUUACCCCUCCACAAAUAGCUUGUUUUUAGGAAUUGCUUCUUUGCAACCAGUUGAGUUAGUGAAUUUUUCCACCACCCUGCAUAAUGAGUUGAAGAGAACAACAUGUCCCCUCUCGCAAAAAUCACAUACAUCAGCAAAAACACUGUCGAAUUAAGCUUCAAUUUUUCACAUUUUGGAGUGAAAUUUGAAGUUUGGAUUUAUUAUUCAAGUUUUGGAACAUCCUAUGAGGCUAUUCAUCACCGCACCAAAAUAAGAGGGGGGGGGGGGCGGGGAUCUCCCUGUUCUCAAUCCCCUUUUUGCUUCCAGGAACUGUUUGAGGGGACUCCCAUUGAUAUUGAACGAUAAGAAGUAGUGGUUUACACUUCCAUUACCCAAAUUUCUGAACAUCUGAGGCAUUCCCCAUCUCUUGCAUAACUCUGAGCUAAAGCAUUCCAGUCAAUCGUAUCAUAGGCCUUUGAACAUCCAUCUGAACCAUGCACUCGAGAAUAUUCUUCCUGUUAUACCUAUUUGAUCAGUUCUUGAGCCAGAUGUGUUGUCCUGUUAUGUGCUUCUACCUGGAAACAAGAGCAGAUUGUGAUUCAUCCACCAGCUUACUGAUCAUCUUACCAGUCUAGUUGUUAGGAUUUUUGUCGAUAUAUCCUUGUAAAGUAUGUAUACAAGCAGCUAUAGGCCUCAUUAUCCUUGAACAGUGUUUAGCAUCGGAUUUUUGGGAUAUAAGAGUUAACCAAGGAGCAGUUAAAAACCUUUCAGCAUCUUAUCCAUUAUGGAAACAAUUCUUUACACUGCAGCUUGUCACAUCAUUUUUCAAAUUGCCAAUGUAGCUGUGAGAAGUAAGCGUUGAAUCCAUCCACCCCUGGGCUUAUUCUGGCCGUAUUACUUUUCAGAGCACUCCACAUUUCCCUGUCCUCAACAGGUUCUUAUCAGCUGACAAGCACUCUCUCAUAUCCAAGAGUUUUACCAGUCCUUACAGUGGUAAUAUCGAUACUCUCAGGUUCAGGGAUUUUAGUACCUACCAGGUUUGUCAUAGUGAAUUGCAAAACUUCUUCUUCUAAUUCUUCUGGUUUGCUUGGCUACUCCUCCAUUUACAGACUCCAAAGUUAUACAUUCCCCUUUUGCUUGUUUCUGUCCCUCACAUAAGCAUGAAAAACGCAUUAUUACAUCUCUCUAGUUGUAACCAAUUCACCUUGGCUUUCUGCUUCAAUAUAUUUUCCUUCUGUUUGGUUCAAAUGGAUGAUUCUCCAGUAGACUGCUUUUCACUCUCUCAAUACUUUGCACACAAACAAAUUUUAUUUGGAGAUCUUCUGUUCGUCUAGAAGCAAUUGUCUGGCUUCUGGAUUGGUCCUGGAAUGUUCUGAUAUUGGGAAUUUCAGCUUCUUCAGAAUCGGGUUGCAGUCUCAAUAAUUUCUCCAUAAUCGUAUACAUGUUAUUACCUAUCACUCUUCUUGCCAAACUUUCUUCAACAAUCUGCAUAUAGGUAGGCUCAUUGUAAACACUUACAAUUCAGGGAAUUAAACAUCGAUCCCUUCCUUAUCUGCUGUUGGCUAACACUACUUUUGACAGGGGAUGUCAGAAAUUACGGUGCCAAGUUUUUCCACUACAGCAUCAGGAUAUUCUGCAACACUGUGUUUAGACACCUUCUAUCAAUUUGAGUGGAUGGAUUCCUUGGGUGUGUUUGUUGGACCAGGUGAAGUUAGCUUCUCUUGGAAACAUUUUCAAACAAGCUAAACAUGGUGCAUCAUACUCAUCUGUAGAUCUCUAUAUUUGCAUAAUAACUGGUUGCCCCCAAUUCUAUCCCCUCCUUCAAGGACAUUAUUAAAGUCCCCAAUGAAACCGGGCUAUUCACAUACUGCUUCCCAGGACUUUCCAACUUGCUCCACAAUGUUUUCCUAUGUUCCACUGAUUGAAGGCAUAAUCAUUGUAGAACAUAUCGAAAGGAUUUAUCUUUAUUCCAUAAACCUUUCAAAAGUGCAGAAAUUUUCAUGGACUUAAUUCAUCCUAAUAAUCACUUUUUUCAGCUUUAUUUCACAGAAGCCAGAUCCUACCAUUAUAGUGUUCGUCUAGUUUAUUCUUCAAAACACACUUAUUGUCAUAAUAUCUCUUAUUCCAGCAGCCUUAUCUUCUUUAAUCUUGUCUCUAACACGCCAAACAAUAGGAGGUAAAACUUAAAAGAGCAAUAUAAGAGAAAAUACCUCCCUGUAUGGUCUAGUCUUUAUAAAUCCUCUCCACAUUCCAGGUCACUGCAUUCGUUCCUUCUCUCAGAUCCCCUACAGGACCUUCGUCCAAUCCUUAGAGGUGUGAUAGUGUUUUGGUAUUCUCAUGGAUGAACUCCUUUGGUGAAUUAUUCAUUACUCUUUUACCUCUGUCCUUUUCACCAUCCAUAGUCCAGUCUGUUGCUAGCCCUUUCUUCAUAUUGGUUUCUCUGCUACCGUUAUGAUGGUGAACUUUCCCCUUUGAGUUUGUCCCCUUGGGAGGCUCUGACUUCUGUAAUUUCCCAACUGGUUGCCAUCAUCUUUCUUGACUUGGUGGUUCAUUGGCUUCUUCAGUGCACAGUCAUGCCUAUUUUUCAGGCAUUUAUGGCCAAUAUUUGUGGUACCCAUUCAUACUCAAUACAUUGUUGGGUACAAGCUUGUUGUUAUGUCCCUGAUGUUGAUGCUGUUUCGAGUUUAUUGUUGUAACAUUCUACCUCUCACCAAAACAUUCGGGGCAUAUGCAGACCCUUAGCUUCUUUGUUUGUACUUCAUCCAUUGUAAUUGGUUUUCUUAAUGGGAAGUCUGCUACUUAGAAGCAUUUCUCUCCCACAGGUGGAGGGCAAUUGGGGAAAUGUGACCCAACACGGGCAUAACCCGCAAUAUGUCCUCUUUCAUCUCAAAAAUCUGAGCUCCAUUGUCUUGAAGAACAUGGCUUCCAUAAAUGGAAAUACGGGGCCUGAGCAAGCACAUGUUCUCUAUCCUCUUGGUUUCCUGAAUCGCACUAAUUAAAAUAUUCCUUCCUCAUUGCUAAUACAGCUCUGGUAGCGAAAACGAGUUCCAAUUCUUCUCCAUGGAACUUCUUGAUUGCAUUCAUUGACAGAGAAUCUCCUAGGCAAACAAUAUAAUCGAAUUCGACCAAAACUCGAGCUCGAUCUCAACAUCAAUUCUAUACAAAUUUUUAACUAGGUUCCACUUCGCCAUCGCAAUCGUGGUGUGGGAUAUACUCCAUUACUCACGCUCUAUUGAUUCUUUCUAUUACUCUUUAUGAACAUCUACCCAGGUUUCCUUAGGUGACAGUCUCUGGCACCUCAACCCCCUGGCAUUUCGAUCUCGCUCUCCAUCGACAUAGGAGGUUUCCAUAUCCGGUAUCUCCUUUUCUUAACGAGUGGCGUCUUGCCCUUUCAUGUUCUCCCAGCUUGUGUUUCUUUGUGAUUCCACAUGUGACUUGUCUUCAUGUGUCCCCUACUUGCUGCUCUUUUGAUUCCAUGAUCCUUGAGAUCACUAUUGUUCGCUCCAUCCCCUUUCCGUCGCGCCGCCACCGCAAGCCUUGCCGGCCACGCCACGUUUGCCCAUGGUGUUCUAAACGCGCUAUUCAGAGCUAAAAAGGGAAAAGUUUUUUUUUGAAAAUAUUUUUAAAAACAUAUAUUUUCUAAUAUUUAAAAAUAUACAUAAUAUAAAAAAAGUUAUCUUUAAUUAAAAAAAUUAGCUAAAUUUUCCUUUAAGUUAAAAAAAUAUUCUUUUUAAAAAAAUAUCUUCUGUAAUUUAAAAAAACAAAUAAUAUAUCUAGAUUCUCUUUAAUUUAAAAUAUACUAUUUUUUAAAAAAUAUACUUCAUAUAAAAAUAUCUUUAAAUUUAAAAAAAAACAUAUAUCUUUAAUUUGUUAUUAAAUUAUCUUUAGGAAAUUUUUAAUUGAGUCCAGUCGAGCUAAGGCUGAGUUCGACUCGACUCGACUCAUUUCAUCCUUACAAUACAAUGACAAAUAAAGGAUUCGAGAAAGCCCUGUUUUUUUAAUCUCAAUUAAACUUUCAUCUAUUUAUUUUUUUUAGGUAAAAAACCAAACUUUUUGGAAACACCAUGUACUUAGUAAUUUAAGUAUAAUGAUAUUUGUCGAUGCUGCACUUAGCAAUAUUGUGGAGACAAAACUUAUUUAAAUAUUAUUACUUGGCAAUGAUUUAGUACAGUUGCCUAAAUAUUCCAUCUCAAGUUUUUUGGCGUUGUUUUCAGUGGUUAUUGAUUAAUUUAAAACAAAUCAAUGAAUUUAUGCUUAUGAUUUAUUUUUAUUUUUUAAAAUUUUAGUUUUUUUUUAGUUUUUUAUUUUAUUCUACUUUUCAAAUAUUUUUUCUGUUAUUAAUUUUUAGUUAUUUUCAAUUACUAUUUCAUGUUAGUAUUUUUUAAUUGUGUCUUGCUAAUCAUAUGGUUUUCUUUCUAAUUGUGUAUGUGAGGUAAAGUAUCUAUCAAAUUGCUUUAUAUUCAGAUGACAACACAAAAAGUGAAAUAGCUCUGAGGAAGAAAUGUGAAUGUAUGAUGGAACUUGAUUUUUAACUUGGUCUAUUUAGAUAAAUCAAAGUUGUAUCAAAUAAAUUGGUUUCCUCAAUUCUAGCUCAAAAAAAUGUUAAUCAAAGUCAGGGUAUUACGAUGUGAUUUAUGUGGUGACGGUUCAUUGCAAUGAUUGUGUAACUAAAGGGAUAUGCUGAAGAGACUCGUUAUAUUGUAAAUUUUCAAAACUAAGUCCCUUACACAGUGGGAAGAUCAUCCAAAUUUCAAAAUAGAGUAAUUAAUCAAUGUCAAAGCUUUAAUAAAAAAAUCGAUCGAGAUCACCACCAAGAAAGCCAUAUCCUCUAGAAGAGGCCGUGCAAACAAUUCAUGGAAGAGACUCAAAACAUUUUUGAACAAUGAAGUCAAUUCAAGAUACAUUCAUCAAGAUCCAUGAAAUAUCUCUUCUAAGAAUAUUGAAAAUGCAAAUUGGGAAGUUUUACAAACAAUUGAGAGUUGUAAAUGGAUAUAUAGUGGUUAUCAAGAAAGAUAAAGGUUGAGAGAGAAGUCUAAGAUUGAAUGGAAGGUAGUAGAUGAAGGGAUGAAGUUGAUAAUAAAACAAGACGAAUAAAAAUGCAUGCCCAUCAAAUUAGAGAAUUUGACGUGAAAAUAAAUUAGAGAAAAGAGAACGAAUGUUAAGUGAGGAUGGAUCAGUUUUGGAUUCAACAAUUGUCUAGAGUGUGAAAUAAUCCAGACUAGAAAACAGUUAACAAAAUGAUUAUCCCUAAAAAUCAGUUUAGAAACAAAAUACAUGAAAGUAAACAAAAAUUGAUUGAAGUAUAGAAUGUUAUGUAUGCCUGUUCCUACUAUCCAAAAUGAAGAAGAUCUGAAGGAGCCUUAUUAAUUAAUUAAAUAAAAAUGUCAUAAAUAAAAAAAAUAACAAAAAAUUAAUUUUAAUUUUAGUUGAAUUAAUCCUAAAUAUUAAAUGGAUAAAUCUUAAUUAAUAGUUAAUUAAGUAAUUAUUUAACUAAAAUUAAUAAAACGAGGGGGUGGUAUUUUGAAUUGGUAAGCAAAUGGGCCAUUAGGAAGGGGGUGCCACAAGAAAUAGAGAGAGAGAGAGCCCAAAGGCCCUGAGGCCCACGCAUGGGGGCUGACCAGGGAAGGGGAGAGUCAACGGCUGACUUUCCCUGGAUUUGCUAGAUCAAGAUCCCAAGGAUCCCGUAACGCAUGAUCUUAGCCUUUGAUCAGGUGGACCUGUCAAAGUAUGCGAGAUAAGGGGUUCAAAUUCAAAGUCAACAGGGGACCAUGAUACACGGGCAUGCACGGGAUACUUAGUUGACCAGGGUGGUCAACUGAUCCACGUUCCUCCGAGGCGCCACUUGGCAAACAUCUGGGGAAGAACGAAUGAGGUAUAUAAGCAAACUCCAUUCACAAACUUUCAUUUUCCCCUUUCUUUCUCUCUCUACUUCUCUCCUUUAUCUUAAUGCCCAUUUCUACUCUCUGACCUCUCUCUAAAACAAACCCUCAUCCGGCCUCCCUCUCCUUAUCUUAAUGCCCAUUUCUACUCUCUGACCUCUCUCUAAAACAAACCCUCAUUCGGCCUCCCUUCUCCGCCUUUCACCACCAUCCAAAGCACCACCUUCCCCAGAUUCCGGUUGAUCUUCAACCGGUAUCUUCAAAUGUUCAUCCAUUAUUUUCCAAAACGCCAUCAAUCUCCAAACCUGGGUUCUUCAGAUGAACCCUAACAACUUCUUCAACCUAGAAACCUCCCAAACCGAAGAAUCCCAAAUGGGUUCUCCUAAACCCGAAGAACUCUAACCUAUGCCCAGAUGAACCCUAUGGUUCAUCACAUGAACCCUAACCCUAGCCAUUACCUAAAAACUCCCUAAAUCAUGGCUGAUCCACAAAUCGGUCUUCCCUAACCCCAACCAAACCCUUAAAUUCCCAAAUCAAACCCCAAGGAAACAAAAACUUCCAACCCUAACCUUAAUCCCCUUUUAAUUCAUUCAUCGAUUCAACCUAUAAAACUGCAAUAAACACAAAUAGGCAAGCAACACAACAAAUAUAUUAUGCGAAAAGGGGGUCAACCUACGAUAUGGAGAUGUAUUCCGGUUCAUGAAAGGUAAUAUCUAGUUCUUUUCCUUUCUCCUUUUGAUCUGAUUGUCUUCUUACUUCUGACUUCUUCUUCUUCAUUGUUUCAUGUUAGAGUUUAAAUGUUAAACCUUAACCUCUGUUUAAUGGGAGCUUUGGUGAUGGUUUGGUGGAUUGCGGAAGCAAGAAUUUUGAGGAUUCUUUUUUAGGGUUUUCUUUUUUUCGUCCCUCAUCCAGUCUUAGCAUUAGGCUUUUAUAGAUUGAUUUUAGGUUUUAGGAUUUAAUUUGAUUGAUUCAAUCAGGUAACUUAGAAUUUGAUUCUGAUUGUUUUGUGUUAGAAAUAAAAACUAUAUUCAAAUUGUAACUGAAAUUGUAAUGUAUUUGGUCCAAUAUUUGGUUUGUAAUUCGUGAUCGUAUGAAAUUAGAAAGUUUGGAUUGAGUUAAAAUUUCCAGUUUUUUUGAUUUGCUUC